AGUAGCGGCGAGCGAACGGGGAGGAGCCCAGAGCCUGAAUCAGUGUGUGUGUUAGUGGAAGCGUCUGGAAAGGCGCGCGAUACAGGGUGACAGCCCCGUACACAAAAAUGCACAUGCUGUGAGCUCGAUGAGUAGGGCGGGACACGUGGUAUCCUGUCUGAAUAUGGGGGGACCAUCCUCCAAGGCUAAAUACUCCUGACUGACCGAUAGUGAACCAGUACCGUGAGGGAAAGGCGAAAAGAACCCCGGCGAGGGGAGUGAAAAAGAACCUGAAACCGUGUACGUACAAGCAGUGGGAGCCUCUUAAUGGGGUGACUGCGUACCUUUUGUAUAAUGGGUCAGCGACUUAUAUUCUGUAGCAAGGUUAACCGAAUAGGGGAGCCGAAGGGAAACCGAGUCUUAACUGGGCGUUAAGUUGCAGGGUAUAGACCCGAAACCCGGUGAUCUAGCCAUGGGCAGGUUGAAGGUUGGGUAACACUAACUGGAGGACCGAACCGACUAAUGUUGAAAAAUUAGCGGAUGACUUGUGGCUGGGGGUGAAAGGCCAAUCAAACCGGGAGAUAGCUGGUUCUCCCCGAAAGCUAUUUAGGUAGCGCCUCGUGAAUUCAUCUCCGGGGGUAGAGCACUGUUUCGGCAAGGGGGUCAUCCCGACUUACCAACCCGAUGCAAACUGCGAAUACCGGAGAAUGUUAUCACGGGAGACACACGGCGGGUGCUAACGUCCGUCGUGAAGAGGGAAACAACCCAGACCGCCAGCUAAGGUCCCAAAGUCAUGGUUAAGUGGGAAACGAUGUGGGAAGGCCCAGACAGCCAGGAUGUUGGCUUAGAAGCAGCCAUCAUUUAAAGAAAGCGUAAUAGCUCACUGGUCGAGUCGGCCUGCGCGGAAGAUGUAACGGGGCUAAACCAUG
rnacentral:rRNA from 1 species